UACGUAGGUGACAAGCGUUGUCCGGAUUUACUGGGCGUAAAGAGCGCGCAGGCGGUCGUUCAAGUCGAGUGUGAAAGCCCCCGGCUCAACUGGGGAGGGUCACUCGAUACUGAUCGACUUGAAGGCAGGAGAGGGAAGCGGAAUUCCCGGUGUAGUGGUGAAAUGCGUAGAUAUCGGGAGGAACACCAGUGGCGAAGGCGGCUUCCUGGCCUGUUCUUGACGCUGAGGCGCGAAAGCUAGGGGAGCAAACGGGG
rnacentral:rRNA from 1 species